UGGGAUGUAGCUCAGUGGUAGAGCACUUGCCUAGUGUGGACAAGGCCCUGGGUUCAAUCCCCAGUACUGCAA
rnacentral:tRNA from 1 species